CACCAGCGGCUUGAGUGACAUCGCCUCUGAGUGUAGAGCCACCAUUCCUGACUGGACCCCAGCCUUGGCUCCUGUGAGCAAGUCACAGCCGUGUGCAGCCAGGAACCCUCGGAAACACAAUCCAUGCUCCUCAGGCUCAGACCCCAUGUGCUUCCUGGCCACAGAGGAACCACGUUCAAGCGCAUGGUUCAAGAUCGUUAAACACGUCCACACUGCUGUGCAGCCCGAACCGCUGUCCACCUCCAGAACCUUCUCACCUCCCCACACUGAAGCUCUGUCCCUUUAGGUCCUGACCUCCACCCAUUCCCCAGCCCUUGUCCCCACCCAGGCUCUAUGGGCUGAUGACACUAGGGACUUCCAGCUCCACUGUCCCAGGUCAGCAUCUUAGCCGCUGACCUUGCCCACCACCUCCACUCCAGUAACACCUGUCCCGCCAUGACUGCGAAGUUGUCCCCUCAGCUGUGGCUCCUGCUGUUCCCUGCUCCCCCCUCUGACCUUCUCUGUCACCUCCUGGUGAUUCCCUCCCUGUGCUCAGCUGCUCCACCUUGUUACCAGGUCUGGGGAACCCAAGUGCUGUUGGGCCCAAUCUCUCCCAACCACCAGGGCAGCUGGAAAAGAAGUACCCAGUUCUA